rnacentral:rRNA from 1 species
GGGUGACAGCCCCGUACACAAAAAUGCACAUGCUGUGAGCUCGAUGAGUAGGGCGGGACACGUGGUAUCCUGUCUGAAUAUGGGGGGACCAUCCUCCAAGGCUAAAUACUCCUGACUGACCGAUAGUGAACCAGUACCGUGAGGGAAAGGCGAAAAGAACCCCGGCGAGGGGAGUGAAAAAGAACCUGAAACCGUGUACGUACAAGCAGUGGGAGCACGCUUAGGCGUGUGACUGCGUACCUUUUGUAUAAUGGGUCAGCGACUUAUAUUCUGUAGCAAGGUUAACCGAAUAGGGGAGCCGAAGGGAAACCGAGUCUUAACUGGGCGUUAAGUUGCAGGGUAUAGACCCGAAACCCGGUGAUCUAGCCAUGGGCAGGUUGAAGGUUGGGUAACACUAACUGGAGGACCGAACCGACUAAUGUUGAAAAAUUAGCGGAUGACUUGUGGCUGGGGGUGAAAGGCCAAUCAAACCGGGAGAUAGCUGGUUCUCCCCGAAAGCUAUUUAGGUAGCGCCUCGUGAAUUCAUCUCCGGGGGUAGAGCACUGUUUCGGCAAGGGGGUCAUCCCGACUUACCAACCCGAUGCAAACUGCGAAUACCGGAGAAUGUUAUCACGGGAGACACACGGCGGGUGCUAACGUCCGUCGUGAAGAGGGAAACAACCCAGACCGCCAGCUAAGGUCCCAAAGUCAUGGUUAAGUGGGAAACGAUGUGGGAAGGCCCAGACAGCCAGGAUGUUGGCUUAGAAGCAGCCAUCAUUUAAAGAAAGCGUAAUAGCUCACUGGUCGAGUCGGCCUGCGCGGAAGAUGUAACGGGGCUAAACCAUG